UAGGAAAUGUCUAGACGGCUGUUUUUGUUCUUUCCCUCUUCUCCUUUCCAAUUGUCCAGGCCUUGAAUGUGAGAAAGAAAUUUAAGACCCUCAAACAAUAUGCCAAAUAAAUGUCUUUUGCAUUCUGGAAGGAAAAAGAAAGGGUCUCUAGGGCUCAGUAAACUGACUCUAAGUCGGCCUGGAAGAGCCACAAUACUUUUUCUUCUCUAGACUGCCUGUGGUCCCCUCAGAAUUAUUCCACCGGCCUAGAAAACCAGUUCUGUGACAUUCUGGGGGCUUUUAUCUCUUAUGGUGAAUUACUAUAUCCAAUGCAAAUCUCCUCCAGGGCUCACGGAGAUCUCAGCAAGCAAGGAAUAUGGAACUGCUCAAAUCAGGAAUAGAUGGAGACUUUGAAGAUAAGUGUGUCCUGGUGUGGUCUAUGGAAAAGCCUCCUUAGUGCCUGUGAAAACCAGUGAAGUAUCUCAUCACUGCUUCUGAGGCCUGCUAUUCUGCCGUCCCUGCUGUUCUACUGCCCCUAGUGGCUACCAGUGGUGCAUCGCUCAGAGAUGGCAAUCUGGUCUCUGGAGGUCUUCAUGCUUCCCACUAUAUUCCCUACAGAAGGACAACCAAGAUGGAAAUAAGCAGUGGAAAGGGGUGAAUAUGGAAGAGGAUGGACAAAACCAGUGUCAUCUGUGUGAGAUUAAAGAAGUGAGUCAUUGAGGUUACAGACAAGUAGCGUCGGGGCAGAGCCAAGAGGAGGAGGAAAGGUGGGACUCUGAAAGGUAAGGUUCUGCCUAUUUCACCUGAGCUCUCCAAGGGUGACCCUUCCUGUCCUUUCCAUGAGGGCCCAGGGCCAUGAUCUCUGAGGAUGUCACCUGCUAGAUACAAUCCCUCUUAGAAAACGGAGGCCUCGGAGAAGGGUUUUGUGCUCUU